rnacentral:misc_RNA from 1 species
GAACGCACAUUGCGCCCUUCGGUAUUCCGUUGGGCAUGCCUGUUCGAGCGUCAUUUAAACCUUCAAGCUAUGCUUGGUGUUGGGUCUUGUUCGCGUCUUUGUGCGUGGACUGGCCUUAAAUUCAUUGGCAGCCGGUAUGUUGGUUUCGUGCGCAGCACAUUGCGUUUUGAUUCCAGCCUGCCCCCUUCCAUUAAGCCUCUUUUUUACUUUGACCUCGGAUCAGGUAGGGAUACCCGCUGAACUUAAG